rnacentral:rRNA from 2 species
ACGGCGAGUGAAGCGGCAACAGCUCAAAUUUGAAAUCUGGCGUCUUUGGCGUCCGAGUUGUAAUUUGCAGAGGGCGCUUUGGCAUUGGCAGCGGUCCAAGUUCCUUGGAACAGGACGUCACAGAGGGUGAGAAUCCCGUACGUGGUCGCUAGCCUUUACCGUGUAAAGCCCCUUCGACGAGUCGAGUUGUUUGGGAAUGCAGCUCUAAAUGGGAGGUAAAUUUCUUCUAAAGCUAAAUACUGGCCAGAGACCGAUAGCGCACAAGUAGAGUGAUCGAAAGAUGAAAAGCACUUUGGAAAGAGAGUUAAAAAGCACGUGAAAUUGUUGAAAGGGAAGCGCUUGCAGCCAGACUUGCCUGUAGUUGCUCAUCCGGGUUUUUACCCGGUGCACUCUUCUACGGGCAGGCCAGCAUCAGUUUGGGCGGUUGGAUAAAGGUCUCUGUCAUGUACCUCCUCUCGGGGAGAUCUUAUAGGGGAGACGACAUGCAACCAGCCUGGACUGAGGUCCGCGCAUCUGCUAGGAUGCUGGCGUAAUGGCUGUAAGCGGCCCGUCUUGAAACACGGACCAAGGAGUCUAACAUCUAUGCGAGUGUUUGGGUGUCAAGCCCGAACGCGUAAUGAAAGUGAACGGAGGUGGGAACCUUUCGGGGUGCACCAUCGACCGAUCCUGAUGUCUUCGGAUGGAUUUGAGUAAGAGCAUAGCUGUUGGGACCCGAAAGAUGGUGAACUAUGCUUGAAUAGGGUGAAGCCAGAGGAAACUCUGGUGGAGGCUCGCAGCGGUUCUGACGUGCAAAUCGAUCGUCAAAUUUGGGCAUAGGGGCGAAAGACUAAUCGAACUAUCUAGUAGCUGGUUCCUGCCGAAGUUUCCCUCAGGAUAGCAGUAACGUUUUCAGUUUUAUGAGGUAAAGCGAAUGAUUAGAGGCCUGGGGGUUGAAACAACCUU